AUACGGAGGAUCCGAGCGUUAUCCGGAUUUAUUGGGUUUAAAGGGUGCGCAGGCGGGAGAUUAAGUCGGCGGUGAAAUUUUGCAGCUCAACUGUAAAAGUGCCUUCGAUACUGGUUUCCUUGAGUGUGGAUGAAGUAGGCGGAAUUUGUGGUGUAGCGGUGAAAUGCUUAGAUAUCACGAGGAACUCCGAUUGCGCAGGCAGCUUACUAAACCACUACUGACGCUCAGGCACGAAGGCGUGGGGAUCAAACAGGAUUAGAUACGCUGGUAGUCCACGCAGUAAACGAUGAUUACUGGCUGUUUGCGAUACAAUGUAAGCGGCUGAGCGAAAGCGUUAAGUAAUCCACCUGGGGAGUACGUUCGCAAGAAUGAAACUCAAAGGAAUUGACGGGG
rnacentral:rRNA from 1 species